rnacentral:sRNA from 1 species
CGAAUCCUCUCACUCAGAUUCUUUUCUCUAGAACUUACGGGCAUUCUCUUUUAGAAUGCCCUUUGUAUUUUUGAGG